GACGAAGGGGGCUAGCGUUGCUCGGAAUCACUGGGCGUAAAGCGCACGUAGGCGGAUCUUUAAGUCAGAGGUGAAAUCCUGGAGCUCAACUCCAGAACUGCCUUUGAUACUGGGGAUCUUGAGUCCGGGAGAGGUGAGUGGAACUGCGAGUGUAGAGGUGAAGAUGCGUUGAUAUCAGAAGGAACUCCGGUGGCGAAAGCGACGUGCUGGACCUCUUCUGACGCUGAGGCGCGAAAGCGUGGGUAGCAAACAGG
rnacentral:rRNA from 1 species